AACAUUUAAGAAAAAGGUUAAUGUUCAUGAAUAGACAGGUUUUUCAUUUCAAUGCUCAAAGCCGAAAUAAAAAGCCCUGUUGUGAUCAUUCGGCUGUUCUGACUAAAUCAACGCGGGCUCACAGCUGUACAAGCAUUAGAAAUAUGAGGUGGUGUAAUGAUUAACAGUUAAUCCAAAUACUGAUGUUCAAUUACUGGAUGCGUCUCACAGCAUCGAGAGCCUCAUUUCCUAUGCAUGGCUUUGCUUCACUCGACCUAAUUUUGGCAUCAUGUCCUUUCUCUUUGCUGUUUCCCCCCUCAGUGUAGGCAUGACUCUCCACUGAUCGACGUUAACACGGGACCAGAAACUGCUGUGAGAUCACACUUAGCACAACAACGGCAACACCGCACGCGCUGUUGAUACUGGAGGCCUAAGGGCAGAUCUCUUAGGCCCUGCAACAUAUGACGGCUGAAUUGUGAUUGAAUAAAAGCUCCGACGUAAAGGCCAGCCCUCAACAUCUGGACCCGAGGCUGGAAGCAGCGCAACCAAGAACAAAGCUCAGUACAUACUUGUGGAAAAAAAGAUAUGAUCAAAUUUAUAUUCUGAUGAUGUUUAGGCCUUCCUGGGCCUGACCGCCCACCGCUGCUAUUCCCCCUCAGCGAUUGGACGCCCUUCUAACGUAAAUCAUUACAUUUUAGGGGGAAGACUUGGUUUAGAGUAAAGGUAAGGGUUAGCAUGAUGCCGGGGGCAGUAAGGGUUACAAUUAAUCUCCUGAAAAUGUAUGUAAAGUCUAGAUAAGUUGCGGAUGUGUGUGCGUGUGUGUUUGUUUGUGAAAGAAAGAGAGUGGAUGUGGGAUCUUUGUUGUAGUGGCUCCCCCUGCAGGUGAAUACAGGUCAUAGCACCUGUCAAACGCGUACUGAUCCACCAGCUUUGAGUCCCGUGGGCUUCGAUCUAUUGUCACUGUUAAUCUCUUUAUUAUUCUGGCUGAUACAUACAGGUACCACGUGUCUCUGUAACUCAUUUAAGAUCUGUUUUUCUCUUUUGGUUUCUGCUUAAAGUUGCACCACAAAUGUGUUUUAGACAACAUGUGUAGACAAGUUAAAGUUGGGUGGAACAAUGAUGGGAAACGUGUGACGUCACCAAACUGUUUGAUAAUGGUGUAAGCUCUCUGCCUGUAUCUCAGCAGCACAAACAGCACAAACAGCUAACAGGAGCAGCGGUCAAUCAUUCCCUGUCUGUACCACACAGUUUUGAGUACAAAUAACGGAGCAGCUGACUUUUUCCUCACUGAAUACUUCCCCCUGAUCAGUUGUAACUCCCUCCAACAUUUGUAGAAAAAAAUGUACAUUUUUGUUAUAAUAUAAUGAUAUUUUGACCCUAUACAGUCUAGAAACAAAUUACAGUUUGAAUAUUGAACCAUUACCCAAAGUUUGGACUUUCCAGAACUGUAUGAUGCAUCUGUUCAAGACUAACAGUAGUGAACAGACUCAAUUGAGUGGGUUGCUUUUAGUAGACAAUGCCUGAAAACGCGGCUGAAACUCAAUUCUUUAAAAAGAGGACAGAAAAACUAGAUGAGCCAUCAAAGAUGCACCACACAAACUGGGGAAAUGAGGAUGCUCCUCAAUGUGUCAUCAAUGUGAAUUUAAACCGCAAAUCAAGUUCAUUAAAACACUGCUCUGUUCGAGAGAGAGAGAGAGAAAUAUUGGUUGAGUUAAACCUCAAUGCUUGAAGAGCAUCAUUUUUCAUUUUGACAAGUGGGUAAUUUCCAUGCGUAAGAAAUCAAUGCUCGGAUCACAUUACUGUUACAUUAAUGACGAGAUUAAAAAGGGCAAUUUGGAAGCAGAUGUCAUUUGACUAAAUCCUCAAUCAACAUAAAUUCCUUGACUUUCUUUUUUUAAUUUGUGGCAUGAUGUCACUAUUUCCACAGAACCGCUCUUGUAGACGUACAGAAUACUAUGUUAGAUAGUCAUGUUUAAGCAUUGUAUGAUCACAUGGUUUAUGGAUGGAUGGAUGGAUGGAUGGGUGGAUGGAUGGAUGGGUGGAUGGAUGGAUGGAUGGGUGGAUGGAUGGAUGGAUGGAUGGAUGGAUGGGUGGAUGGGUGGAUGGGUGGAUGGAUGGAUGGAUGGCCACUUUGUCAUGUCAGAUAUUACAACACGGACAAUUGACAUGCAGUCUACAAUAAAGUGGCAACUAACAUCAGAAGCAAUACGAUGGAUAGAGAUUGGUCGAUGGAGAUGUAAUAUAAUUGGGUUAAAUGUAUAUCGCGCAUUGCAGUUUAAGUUAUUUUCCUCCUUGUUGUUCGUGUUGCAAACACAAAGCAAUAAACUGACCACAAAGCCUUUGUUAAACCAGCGUCCGUGAGGUAGUCGUAGGAAAUCUGAAGGGAUUAUAUUCCUAAAUUACAAAGCCUUGGUUCUCUGCUGCCCAUCCCGCUGCAGGGUCAACAAGAAGGCUGCCAGAGAGCUCAAAGGCCAAAAACAAUGUUUUUCCAAGCGAUGAUCCUUUACGAGGAAGAUGCACCACCCUGCUCUUUAAUUUCCUUCAAGUCUCUGGAGUUUUGCUGCAUGGCCGUAAUGCAGCUUUCACUCUCAGAUUUCCUUGUGGGAACAUAACAGAAAGAAAAAAUACUAAGUAGGAAACUUUUUCAAGAAAUGAAUAAAUGUCACUCGUCAUAACGCAAAGUUCACUAAGCUAAGGCCAAUGUACUAUGCAGUAGUAGUAUGAAAACCAUCCAUUUACCCAAAAGCACCUGGAGACACUGAUAGGAGCCAGGACAGGAGCCUCUCUGCUGCUUCAGGGUUUGAGGUGAACUGCCGUACUUUCUGUUUUUUAACCACCAGGUGAAGCCAACGUCAUAUUGGCCUUACAUGUUGUUGCUUUCAUUUUAAAUUAAAUUAUAAUUUGUAAUCCACCAACUAUUAAUUUGAGUAAUUCCGUAAACUCUAUUAACUACUCAUUUAUCAUAUAUACUUCAACAUCCCAUGUCAAUUUGUACACCAGCUGUUUCAUUGUCAAUGAGCUCACAACCUCUGAUGAAAGCCGGACUGGUGCACGACCGCACGCUGCAUUCCUCUCCUGGUCCGGACACUCAACGAGCUCCUGCAGCCUCUGGUCCUGCUUCUUUGUGCAGAUUGCCCUCUGCUGGUUUCACCGGGCCGCACUCUUCCUCCGCUGUGGUU
ensembl:lncRNA